ensembl:lncRNA
AUGAGACACGGUCUUAGCCUACUAAUAGCUCACAACAGCAUUCAGUGUUCAAUUCAAGGAACGAAAGCUAUUCUGGAUAUUUAAAGAAGAAAGGAUUUUAAUAUGGGGAUUGGAUGCUUGAAAACCAUUUCAAGGACUGGAGGCAUGGGUUGUAGGCACCAGUGGUGACUUCCAGCUGCUACCUCUGCACCAUCAGGAAGGUGGAAAUCAGGAGGCCUCAAAUCGAAUAUGGAGUUCCAGAUUCUAGAAUCUGUAACAUAUCACAUACUCUCAAUCUAGGGACCAGAGAGCCAGAACUGGGAAGCCGUUAUUGCUUCACUGAAAACUGACUCUUGACAAUCAUAGAACUGUUGACUAGUUACUGGAAUAUGAUGCAGAAAAACUUCGUGUCUCCACAACUGUGCUUGCCAGCAGGAAACAUCUAAAACAGCAAGAUUUCCUUUGUUUCAUUUCUACUUUUCAAAUCUCAUACGUGUGCGUCCACUGGUGGGACUCAAUUUGCAUUCGGAACCCUAUCUACAGGGAAGUCUGGGAAAUAGAAGAUGAGAGUGGUUAUUGGGAGAAGAACCAACAGUGUCUUCCACAGACUCAGGAACAUACAUGGGCACUGAAGGGUUAGAGGGAGCAUGCUGCACAAAGUAAAUAGGUCACAAAUAAGGGAGAUCACUUCUCCCUGGGGUUCACGGAAAGUGGCAGAGAAGAGACUCCUCCUGCUGGGUCUUGAAGAAUAUCCUGUAGAAGUUUGCCUCAAAGGGGGCUGAAGGGCAUUUGGGGCAGAGUAAGCAUUAGGAGUUAAGGCAAGCGUGUGAAAAAGUGUAGUGCACCUAGAAUCAGCCUGUGCUUUCUUUGUCCGGAACAGGAGGGAGAAAGAGGAGGGCACUGAGCAAUGAGGUCCAAGAAGUGGCAGGGCCCAGAUCAAGGCACACCUCAUACGCCAUGCUCAAGAGCUCAGAUUUCUCCUAGAAGUGAUAGGGGGACCUUCGGAAGGUUUUACACGGGGGAAUGACAAGACGAGAUGGGUUUUAGAAAGGUCACUGUGGAGGCUGUGCGGAAGAAGCACUGGAAUGGGGAGCAACUGGAAGAAAGAGAGCAGUUGGGAAGAUAUUGCAAUAUGGUAGACUAGACGUGGCUGGUACCUAAACUAGGACUAUGGAUGUUGGGAUGGGCAAGAGAGGGCUUGGAGUAUACGUGGAAGUUGAAUCAAUAGGACUUGAUUGAGCUGAAGUGGUGGGGAGCAAUUAUUGCGUGUAUGCUAUGUGCCAGGCUCUAUUCUAUACUGCAUGUAUGAACUCAUUCAAUCCUUACAAAACCCUAUGCAGUAGGUCCUAUUAUCAAUCACAUCUGCAGAUGUGGAAACUGAAGCACAGCUGGUAAGUGGUGGAGCUAGGAUUUGAAUGGAAACAAACACUCAACCACUUUGCUAUGAAACACCUCUGCUCUUAGUGAUAAAAUUUGCUUUCCUGUCCUUUAUGAAUUUGCAUUUCACUGUGAAUUCUGGUUUGGACCCUGACUCAGGAGUUCUUUUAACCUAGACAUUCAUGGAUGAAUUUCUGCAGGUCUAAGGAACCCUGAAAUUGUAAUCAAGUUUGUAUGUUUUUCAGCAUUUGUGUAUUAUUUUUCUGGAAGGAAUGGCCAGACUUAUCAAAUGAGUUACCAGGGGUUCUCAAAUGGGUUUCUGACCUAAGAAUACAUUUAAGAACUCUGCCUUAGAGGAAUGGUUCUCAAGGUGUGAUCCCUGAACCAGUAGCAUAAGCAUCUCCUGGGAACUUGCUAAGAAGGCAUAUUCCUGGCCCCUUCCAAGACCUACUGAGCCAGAAACUCUGAGGGUGGGCCCGGAAAUCUGUGUUAAUAAGCCUUCCAGGUGCUUCUGAUGUGUGCCCACGUUUGGGAAGCACUGCCUCAGAGCAAACACAAGCAUGAGUGAUGUGGCAGCAGGGGCUAUUCGCUGACCUGGGUGGGGCAUUCACAGUGGAUGUGGUGUCAAGGAGGGUAGGGAAAAUCUCAGAAGCCCAAGGUCUUCUGUGAGUGCUCUCAGGAAGGACAGAUGCUUUGAACUGAGCAGUAUUUUGGACAGGGCAUUCACUAAGGGCUUCUGCAGUCCUCAGGACAGGCAUUUCUGGAAGGUGCUGGGGUCUCGACUUGCAGCUGAGAAGAUGCAACCUGUAGACUCAUGCACCAAUCCCACAAUGCCUCGAGGCCAGUCUCCCCCUCUGUCGUAGUUUCUCCUGGGGCUGCAUUUUAGAUAUCUUGUUUCAUCCAAGUACACAGACCUCUAAUGACUUUUCCACAGAGGAUAACCUGCCUGGGCUCCCAGGGCAGUUAGCAUCCACUGACACCCUGGCUGCUCCCCACGAGCUGCCAGGGCCUCUGGUCCACACCUCACCCAGUUGACACUGCAGCCGUGCAGCCUGUGCAGGAUUCAUGCCCACAAUGCCAGUCUCUUUCUACAUCUUCCUGGGAGCGUGAAAGGGAACGAACGACCUGCGGCGCUGAGUGAUGGGAUUGGUGGGGGUUCCUGUUCCCCACUCCCCUGCUGCCCUCCCUCCAGACACCCAGGCUCAGGUCCGUCUUUCUGCAAAGUCACAAAACUGGAAAGCUCUUGGGGUAGGGAGAGAGCAUGUGCCUGCUGGUUGGCUUGGAAAGGUUCUGGGAAUUCAUUAUGAUCUAAACAACUAUUCCAGUCAUUCCUGUGACUCAGCGCCUGCCAGCAGGAUCUUCCUGUGUGCACGGGGCCGGGGGUUGCUGACUCAGUGCUGAGGAGGGCACCUUGUCAGCGCUCCUGGGCUCCCAGCUCCUCCUGCCUCCCCUUCGUCCCCAGAGGACACCAAAGGGAAGCAGGCAGUGGGGGGAGCUUCUCAGCGUGUCCAGUUUCACUUCUAAACCAGCAUCCAGCCUCCUCGAGUUACCACUCUGACCACGUACAUCUGUUAGUCUUCCGGGCACUUUGGCGAGGAAGCCAUCAGGAACAGUCACACAGGCAUCAUGCUUCACGUACCCAAUUAACACGUGUUUAGCCAGCACCUACUAUGCAUCCAGGACUGGGAUCCAGAGAGAUGUGACUGUAUCUACCCACAACUUUCAGAGGUCUGGCGGGGGAAAAGCCCUCGCAGUCCCGCAGGAAGUAAUGGAGAGAGUGCUGCAGCAGGGCUGUGGAGAGCCGGGGCCGCUGAGCAGCAAGCGAAGGGGAAACUGAGGCUUGGAGAAGUUAACUAACCUCUCUCCAAGGUCAUACAAGCGGUCGGUGAGGUAACAGGACUUCAGACCCAGAUCCCUCUGAAUUCACCGCCUGGGGCCUGUCCCCGGCACCACCUGCUGUUUCCAUUUUGAGUCCAGAUAUCAUCUGUCUUUAGUGUCUACUGUCUCAACCUCUGUAAAAUGGAACCUGAUAUUGUCAUGCAGGACUGUGAUCACUAUCUCCUGUAAUGUUAGAAUUAAAACACUUAAUCAUAACUCCAAGCAUACUUUCGUAGUCACUUAUUCAUUCAUUCAAUAAAUUUAUAUCGAAUAUUCAUCUCCUUGUGCCAGACUCAAGGCCCUGAGAACACAGCAGUCAAAAAGGCAGGCACUGGGGCCAGCCCCAUGGCCUAGUAGUUGAGAUCAGUGCACUAAGUUGUGGCAGCCCAUGUUGGUUCCGGAGUGUGGACCUACAGCACCUGUUAGCGGCCAUGCUGUGGUGAUGUGCCACAAACGAAACAGAGGAAGACUGGCAGUGGAUGUUAGCUCAGGGUGAAUCUUCCUCAAGCAAGAAAAAGAGGAAGACUGGCGACAAAUAUUAGCUCAGGGUGAAUCUUCUUCAGCAAAAAAAAAAAAAAAAAAGGCCAAAGAGGGAAGUGGAGAAAUCAAUGAAGGCUCCUGAAGGACGUGUCAGCUCCACCUGAAAACAGGAUGAGUUGGUAAUGUUGAGGAGGGCGGGGCGGGGAAGCACAGGACAGCCUAGGACUGUGUGUCCAUGUGGCCACUCGCCACCCCAGGCUGCGGAGCGAGGAAUGCUCAUCUGAACUGAGGUGCCCUAGGAGUAAAUGCGACCGGCUUUCAGACUCGCACUGAAAAGAACGUAAAACACCUCAUCAAUGUUUUGUAUUGAUUGCAUGUUGACCUGAUGAUAUUUUGGAUAUAUUGGGUUAAAUCAAAUGUAUUAUUAAAAUCAAUUUUACCUGUUUCUUUUUACUUUUUAAAAUGUGGCCACUAGACAAUGUUGAAUCGUGUGUGUAGCUCACGUUGUACUUUGAAAGGACGGUGCUGUCCUAGAAGGGCUGGGAGCCUCAGGGAGCAGGCACAUCAGAGCCGCUGUGGGGCACGAGGGGAGGAGAGAAAGAGGAUGCCGAAGGCUGGUAUGAACCUCCAACCUCUAUUCUGCGGAUCACACAGAGUGAUUUUAACCUCUGUGAACCCCAAAUCUGAGAUGCUGGGGCGCACUGACUUACUGGAAAUUGACUCUUCCUCCAAACCAGCUCUAGCUGUGAGCCAGGGAACGGUUAAUGCUCUUCGUGAGUCCCAUAUUGUAGAUGGAAGAGGCCAGAAAAAGCAGGGCAGCGACCUGGCCACAUGGCCGAGUGGUUAAGUUCGCAUGCUCUGCUUCGGCAGCCCAGGGUUUCGCGGGUUCAGAUCCUGGGUGCAGACAUGGCACCGCUCAUCAGGCCAUGCUGAGGGGGCGUCCCACACAGCAGAGCCAGGAGGACCUACAACUAGAAUAUACCACCAUGUACUGGGGGGCUCUGGGGAGAAAAAGAAGAAAAAAGAAGAUUGGCAACAGAUGUUAGCUCAGGGCCAAUCUUUAAGAAAAAGAAAAAAGAAGCAUCGGGGCAAAAACGUAAAGAAAUAGAGGAACAUCUUAGGGUAAAAAUCAAGCCCCUAACAGUGGCCCCCCAGUCCUGUACAUGGCUCCUGCCUGCCUGCUUCCCUCUCUGAUAUCUCUUACCUGGCUCCUCCCUUACCCCAUCUCUACUCCAGUUACGGUAACCUCUUUCCUGAGGCUUGAACAUACCAGACAUGCUCCUGCCUCAAGACCUUUACACUGGCUAUUCCCCUUGCCUGAAACAUUCUUCCUCCAGCUAUCACAUGGCCAACUACCUUAACUUGUGGUUCAAAUGUCACCCUCCAAUACGGCCUACCUUAACCAUCUUAUUUAAAAUUGCAACCCCCAUUGGUACUCUCUUACCUGACUCUUGUUUUUCUCCAUAGCAUUUAUUACCUUCUAACAUACUCAAUAAUUUACUCUUUUAUUAUGUUUCCUGUCAAUCUCCCUACUAGAAAGCACACUCCCUAAAGACACUGAUCUCAGUUUUAUUUCCUGCAUUAGCCCCAACACCCAGACAGUGCCUGGCACAGAGUAGCCACUGCUCAGUUAGCACUUU